GAUGAACGCUGGCGGUAUGCUUAACACAUGCAAGUCGAACGGACUCUUCGGAGUUAGUGGCGGACGGGGGAGUAACGCGUGAGAAUCUGGCUUUGGGUUCGGGACAACCACUGGAAACGGUGGCUAAUACCGGAGGUGCCGAGAGGUAAAAGAGAAAUUGCCUGAAGAUGAGCGCGCGUCUGAUUAGCUAGUUGGUGAGGUAAAGGCUCACCAAGGCAGCGAUCAGUAGCUGGUCUGAGAGGAUGACCAGCCACACUGGGACUGAGACACGGCCCAGACUCCUACGGGAGGCAGCAGUGGGGAAUUUUCCGCAAUGGGCGAAAGUCUGACGGAGCAAUACCGCGUGAGAGAAGAAGGCUCUUGGGUUGUAAACCUCUUUUCUUAGGGAAGAACAAAAUGACGGUACCUAAGGAAUCAGCAUCGGCUAACUCCGUG
rnacentral:rRNA from 1 species